rnacentral:rRNA from 1 species
UACGUAGGUGGCAAGCGUUGUCCGGAAUUAUUGGGCGUAAAGCGCGCGCAGGCGGUCCUUUAAGUCUGAUGUGAAAGCCCACGGCUCAACCGUGGAGGGUCAUUGGAAACUGGGGGACUUGAGUGCAGGAGAGAAAAGUGGAAUUCCAUGUGUAGCGGUGAAAUGCGUAGAGAUGUGGAGGAACACCAGUGGCGAAGGCGACUUUUUGGCCUGUAACUGACGCUGAGGCGCGAAAGCGUGGGGAGCGAACAGG